rnacentral:lncRNA from 1 species
CCAGACUUGAAGCUUUCCCAUAAUAACAACAAAGAGUUUGAGUAAGAAUUCCACAGCUUGCCUUCAUCUGUGGCAGACUUGCAUGAAUCAUUUUCAAAUAAAGAUAAUAACUCAGUUGGUCUUGUAGUCCAAACAAAAUGUGCUACUUCAGGAACAUUCACUUCCUAUGUGGACUUUGCUGCUGAGUCAGUGUGAGACCUUGAACAAGUCUCUGUUUGUUUCGUACCAUUCAGAUUUCCUCGUCUGUAAACAUUAAGUAUCUACAUUCACUAAAAGUAGUUCUGAAUGAAUGUUAUUUAAUGGUGCCAAUGAUGUUGGAGGAUACCUGUGCAUCUCAUGCUGUGGUUACAGCAUCAAUUGUGAUGAAUAUAGGAUACUGAGUCCCUCCUAGAAAUGACUUCAGGAACUUCACCCCCCAACUCCACAAUCUGGGAAUGGCAGACAGAUUCAGCACCAGGAGAACAUCACAUAAAGGACAAGUGUGUAUGUUUAAAAAUGGCAAGUUUCGGCCUGGCAUGGUGGCUCACGUCUAUAAUCCCAGCACUUUGGGAGGCUGAGUCUAAGUGUACAGUGCUUGUAAAGUCUGCAGUAGCAUACAGUAAUGUCCAAGGCUUUCACAUCCACUCACCACUCGCUCACUGACCCAGCCAGAGCAACUUCCAGUCCUGAAAGCUGCAUUCAUGUAUAGUUUGAGGGUAUCCAGCCUCAGAUUAUCUGAGGAUGUAGCUCAAGAUUUCCUAAUUUUGCAAACAGCAAGCUUCCCAGGAGAUUCUUAGAUUCCUGCUAACAAAAGGCGGAGACUCACUGGACAGUUACUGAAGAUAGACAGUAGGGGGCGGAAGGGCCCACGCUUCUUUGAUAUUGGUGGCUUUGGUUUUUCAGUGACGGGGGACACUUUGACUUCAGUUCCUUUUUACGACUUUUGGUAGUGAAGAGAUAAAGUUCAUUACAAAACAUGCCAGGCUUAAGCAAUUUUCCAAAGGGAUUAACGAAUUGCAGUGGCCGCAGGCUAUGUAAAAAUUUUUAAAAGGUGGUGUCUCUCAUAUUCUUCAGCAUAACUUGGGUCACAGAAACCCAGGCAUAAAAAUUCAUUGUGAACUCAUAUUCUACCAUGGCCUGACACUGACUCAAUCACCACAAUUGCAAUCAAAAGACGGCUUUAGUUGGAACCUGGAACGUGCUAAUCCUGUCAGGCAGCCUGUGAUUCUGGAAGUGAAGGAACAAAAAAAAAAAAAAAAAGGGAAAAUUUCACAUAAAAUUUCCAUAUGAGGAAGAAGAUGGAAACUUUUGUGUUGUGCGUUCAGUAAAACGGGCACUUUCUUAAGCAGGUGGCAAAGAAAGCCUGAGAAUCCGGCCUGACUUUUUCAUUUCAGAACCCUGCAUUUCCCACACAGAGGAGAUAGAGCACAGCCAUUGCAUGGUAGAUCCAGCUUGCUCUCACAGCCAUUGUGCAAAUAAACAUACAUGUGGCAAGGCAGUGCAGUUUUCAGUUGUUAAAAGUUCUGUCAUGCCACGAGAUGGAGCAAAGGAUAAACGCUGAUGUAAACAGGCAACAGGACUCUGACUCCACACCCCUGUCUGCACGGAGGAUGCUCAGUCCUUACACAACAAAAUGUGAGAUGCUUCCAGUCACCUCCUGGCCCUGACCCCUGAGCUCCGUGCUCACCCCACUGGAGGUCCUGGCAGUUCUCCGAGCAGGCUGUACCUGUCUGGGGUGAUCCUCUCCACUUAAUGUUAGACAUUAAGUUCCCUGUGAAAUCUGUUUUGACUCACUGAGGUUAUGAAUAUUUUAUCACAACUAUCAUCAUAUACUACCAAAUCUCCAAUUUUCUUAUCUCCAUUACUAGACUGUGAGCUCCCUGGAGGCUGGACCUGGGUUUGGCACCGAGUGGCACUCAUACAUACUUCUUGAAUAAGAGAAUGUAUGUACACAGUGGCAUGAAAUUGAUUUGAAUUUGUUGGUUUUCUUAAGUGCUAAAGUUGUAGACAGUUCAGUAAAAACUAUAAAGCGGUUACCCUGUAAACCAUGAGUACUAUUAAUUGGAACCUCCUUUCUUACAUAUCCACUUGUGUUUCUGUUAAUGUUUCCAAAAUAAAUAAAGAGCAGGCUAGAGGGAAACCUCCAGUCCUUAGAAACCACGGCA